rnacentral:tRNA from 1 species
CAAUAGGUAGUUUAAGUAAAAUAUUAUUCUUACAAGAUUAAGUUCUUUUUAGGUAAGUCUGUUGA